GACGCUGGCGGUGUGCUUCACACAUGCAAGUCGAACGAGGUAGCAAUACCUAGUGGCGGACGGGUGAGUAACGCGUGGGAAUCUGCCUUUAGAUGGGGGAUAACGGGUCGAAAGACUCGCUAAUACCGCAUAUGACGAAAGUUGAAAGGAGUAAUCCGUCUAAAGAUGAGCCCGCGUCCGAUUAGCUAGUUGGUAGAGUAAAAGCCUACCAAGGCGACGAUCGGUAGCUGGUCUGAGAGGAUGAUCAGCCACAAUGGGACUGAGACACGGCCCAUACUCCUACGGGAGGCAGCAGUGGGGAAUUUUACGCAAUGGGCGAAAGCCUGACGUAGCGACACCGCGUGAGCGAAGAAGCCCCUUGGGGUGUAAAGCUCUGUCAGCUGGAACGAAAAAAAUGACGGUACCAGCAGAGGAAGCAUCGGCUAACUACGUG
rnacentral:rRNA from 1 species